GGGAGGUCUUCUCCUGCUGGUUGCAGGAUCUGGUGGUAGAGGGCAAGCCGAUGAGCAGCACAAGAGCAAGGACGAGGGAAGGUAUGUGUAAUUUUCUGGUCACAUAUGAAAGCUUGAGUGGCUGCAUGGUGUUCUUAUGAAACUAGGAUGAAAAUAGAUGUUCAUUCUUUGGCUGGUUUCUUCUACUGUAUUAAACAGUAGUGCCCCUUGUUGGAGUUCUUACAAGUACAGAGCAGGUCGCCUUGCUAAGACCGACUCGCUUGACUAAAACCAAAUUCCUGGUAGACCUUUGUUUCCAAAUCUUAGUGAUAUGACAUGCAGCUUGCAGGUUUCUUUUUUUUUUUGACGAAACCAAACGCUUAUAAAACUAGAGUAUAUCUAAAAACUGUAGUAUUCUCAAAAUACCGAGAAAAAACUGAGCUACCAAACAGAGAUAUUCUGUGCCCUGACUGGGUACAGCAUGGAUGGUCUAGCCAAGGAACAUUCAGAGGGCAACAAUGACAAGUUUAUUUAUAGCUUAAUGGACCUGGUGCCCUGUUAUCUUGCAGGGUUUGCCUGGUGUAUACGAGUAUUGAUGUAUACCACUGGCGCAUCACCCCGGACCCAUGGGAUUGGGAGUUCAAGUAGACCGAGUUGCGUAGCGUUUGAGGACUUGCAGUAGCAGAAGGAUAGACAGAACGAAAUCGGGCUAUAUAUAAAGAAGUGUAUUUCUUUUUUUCUUUUCUUUUUAGUAAGUAUCACAAAACUCCUAAUUUCUGACGAAUUUUAUCAGAGAGCUACACCUUUUCGGUUUUUAAUCACUUAACCCGUAUUCUUGGACAAAAUUGUAUUGCAAAACCCGUAAUCUCGCUGUCAACAUAGGUAACAGCGUUACUGACACUGGGGCCCACCUGUCGGCCUCACACACGAAAAGUGGUUUAGCUAGUUUGGUCUGGUUCGGUUUUCUCUCGUCUGUUGGCCCGGAACUCCUUCAGUUCCACGUUUGUCGGCCCGAAACCGGCAAAGCAAUCGGGGAGCUCCUCGCUGCGAGGCAAGUCGAUGGACAGAGGGCUGGGCUGCCCGUAGCGUCCGCCGCCGAUGCAGAGCGUGAGGUGGAAGAAGAGCAGUGGCCCAAAAGGUGCACUAGCUCCGUCCUCAGGAGGAUCGCUGGCCCGCACCCACCGAAUCUCUAGCUCUAGCAAGACGCGGGCCAGCGGCGGGCACACCCAGGCGAAGAGCAUGAACCACCAUGAAGGCGUUGUCGUUGCCACCCAUGGCAUCUUUCCUGCCAUAGCCUGACGAGGUCAUGGAGACCUGCACGGUGUAACAAUUGUCAACCGCUGAAGGCGGGGUCAAAGACCGGCACGCGGUACAGCAGCUGCUGUUCCUCCUCCUCCUCUGCUACUGUUGUCCUCUGCUCAUGGGACGACUCUCCGCCGGCGCCAACCUGGUCGAGCACCACACAACGACGAGCCGCAGGAGUCCGCGUGGCGUGAGCGAGGGUGCAGGACAGAAGGAAGAACAGAGCAGGCCCGAACCCACCUGAACCGGCAGAAAAAUGGGAGAAAACCGAACCGGACCGAACUAGAUAAGCCAGUUUUUGUGUCUGAGGCCGACAGGUGGGUCCCAAUGUCAGUAACGUUGAUAGUUGUGUUGACAGCGGGAUUACGGGUUUUGCGAUACAGUUUUGUCCAAGAAUACAGGGUAAGUGAUAAAAACUCCAAAAGGUGGAAUUCUAUGUUAUAGUUCGUCAGAAAUUAGGGGUUUUAUGAUAUUUACUCAUUCUUUUUUUUGGUAGAAGUGCAUUUCUUUUCUUUUGGGUAUGUUUCUGUUGUAAAUUAAUAAAUUUCAGAUGAUGUUAUUCUGACGCUCCUACCACCUGGAGUCCUGGAGGAUGUAGAGAUCUGGCAAGUGGCUGGUACCUGCAGCCUUAUGAAUACGGCACACUGAAUUGACAUGAACAUGACAGGGGCUUGGUCUCGCCAAAUUUUCUCUGACCUGACUUGCGUACUCUGCGACAAGUCAAAUACGUUCUUCAAGCUGAGUCCAUGCACCUGCACUGCUUUUUUUUAGGGGAUCAUAGAUGUUCAUAGGGAUACAAAAUAUGUCAGGACUGCUGCAUACCCAAAUGAAAUGGCGAACCAUUCUUUCUUGUUCAAGCUGGGCUAAUAUUCCGAGGCCCAAUUUAUUAAGGUAUCCGCUUUCAGUUGCGUCCCUGCCGAUGCCGAGCCCAACCUCCCCGCCUGCUGGAAACGACCGGCCCACAGCGAGUCGCCGAGGCUAGUUCCGGAUGUCCAGCCCAUAUGGCAGAUUUCAGCCGCCGCAGGCCGGCGGUGCCCCCUCGCCGGGCGGCGACCUCCCGCUCGAGCUGUCGAACCACGCGACGCAAGCGCACUAUCCGUGGUCCGUGCCAUUAUCUCUCAUGCUCAUCCCACAGUCCUCAUUCCCGCGUGUGCGAUACGGAAUCUCGCGCGCGAACCCUAGCGAAAUCUUCGCACCCGCGGCCACCCGCAGCGAAAUCUGCGGCCCGGAGGUAAUUCGCUCCGGUGAGUGUUUCUGAUUGAGAGAAGCAGCAAGUGGAUGGUACUCUGGUAAGUAACAGACAUCCUGUCAAACAUUCGUCACCCUUCGCAUGUGUAUCAAAGUAAAUAAAUACUGAACAAAGAGUUACACACUGUUGACAUGGCUCAAUCACUAACCAUUUCCAAAUUACAUUGUUCGAGGUGGUUUAUGGCUUCACCGAUACAUCAAAUGGCUUCAAUCCCUUCUCAUCUGGACCUUGUGGAAUGCAGAACAUACUGAAAGUCAAGAUAUACCAG
rnacentral:lncRNA from 1 species